AAUGAUUCAAGCCAAUCUGGAAGGAAAUAGACCUCCAGGCUGUGGGAAGCAGGUGUUGGGAGGAGGGGGCAAGACGGGGCCUUCACCUGCACCAGCCACGGUGGCCGGGGUGCCCCCUCCUGGGCAAUCAACGAGGACGAUGUGGAGAAGCACAGGCCCCCUCCCCUUCCUGUUGGCACCCACACCCAGAGCCCUCACGCUGCCCUCUCUGACGGAGCCCAGGGCCACGUGUGCACACCCCUGCUGGGGGUGAGUUGGAGGGGACAUGGCAGGGAUAUGGGAGAUGGGAGAUGGCACAGGAGGGACUGCCUCCUGGACAGAGACCAGGGGGCAGAGACCAGUGGGACCCAGGGACACUGGGCCCUGCCCUUUCUUCUUACUCCAUGCCAGCCGGGCCCACUGCGCACUUCCUCAUAAACCAACUGUCGCCUGCACGGGGCCGGGCGCCAGCGCAUGCCGUCUGCUGAGUGCCGUUCAUCUCCGCGCUUGCUCAUUUCCACGGCGGCUGACAGGCACGCUCUGAGCGUCCCCAGGCUCUGAGCCAGGUGGCUGGGAGUGCCGUGUGACCCUGCCCUGGGGGAGGCCUCAGGCCAGGGACCUGCAAAGCCAGCACCCAACCAAGUCGCCUAGAGCUUUACUAACGCUGAGGCAGCAGGUGCCAGGAGACAGGGGUUCCUGCAAGAAAGGUCCUCACCCCCGGGACCGUCUUCCACAUGCUCUCCCUCAUCCUGGUGAGCUCCACCCCUCCUCCCAGCAGAGCUCCUGGACUGCCCACUUCUCUGCAGCCCGGGCAGGACCGUCCAGGUCAGCGAACCUGCGUCCCGCUGCUGGCAAAGCCAGGUCCCUGCGCCCCGGUGUUCUGCCCGGCUGCUGCCUGCUGAGGCUUGCAGGCCAUGAACUUCUCAGAACAAAUACCCCCGUGAAGCCAGCCAUGGGCCACGAGGACACACUUCUAGGGGCCUGCCUUCCGUGUGGGCUCAGGUCUCCCGGACAGCCUGGGCACAGCAUGGGCGCCCGAGGACAUACCCAACCCACAGCUGAUUCUGCUCGGAGGUGGUUUCCACAGGGAGCCUCGGUUUCCAGGUGAAGCACAUCAUUAGUGCACUGGCACCAGGGAGUGGAGACACAACCGGCUCUCCCCACCUCUCGUGCGGCUGGCAGCCCGGGCAGCCUGGGGCUCCUCUACCGGCUGGGGGAAAGGGGGUUGUUGGAAGCCAGGCCCUUGCCACACUUGGCCCUUCCAGGACUGGAGGGUCCCACGGCCCCGCGUCCCGGCUUCCACAACUCAAAGAAAAGUCAAGGCCCCCGAGACCAGUGACGGAGCUUGUGCCGCCCGGACCUGGCAGCAGCUGCUCUGUCUACAGAGGCAGCAUUUAAUUUUGCUUUCCACAACGAGACUGCAUUCUGGAUACAGCUGUGGAGACAGAUAAGGAACCUGUGCAUGGGGGAAAUACGCCCCUGCCAGAGCCCCCAUGGGUGCCCAGGAGAGGAGGGGCCCCACGCAGCCACUGCACCUGCCAGAGCCUCCAGGGGUGCCUGGGAGAGGAAGGGCCCCACGCUGCCACUGCACAAGGAGCCGGGGCCACUUCCCCAGGUCGUAGACAGCUCUGAAGGUGAGUCCGUGUGUCCUGCCUCCUUCUAGAAAAGCCUCUGACCCGACUUCAGGCAGGGACUGACCCAGGGAAGGCGCAGUGCCCGCUGCACAGGCGCCCAGGCGAAGCCCCCACCAGCGCCUGGCACACCCAGCCACCUCUCUUGUUGCUCAGUAAGAAGCCGAAGGUGGGAGCUUCAAAGAGCUCGGUGCACAUACAUCAAACGCCACCCAGGGAGACCC
ensembl:lncRNA